UUCAAUUAUUAAGCAAACCCUACUGUCGAUGAAAAGUGCAGGAAGCAUCCAAAUAAAGAAAGAUAUGCCUUUGCGAAGAAGAGCAGCCUAAAUAAAAAGAUUUCUGAUGAUUUGGCCACCCCCAUGGAAGUCGUUCCAGAUGAGAACCUUUCAGUUGAAAAACAGUUACCAGCUAUGGCUAAACAACCUGCAUUAGUAGUCGUAGAAACAAUACCGACACUACUAGUAAGCAUCGUUAUCAAUGUUAAAUUAGCUUCUUUUCAUAUUUAUUUAUCAAAACCAAUACUUGUUUUUAUAGACAGUGGUGUAAUUGACGCCGAUGGAUGAUGUUCAUGAUCCGAAUACCUCAAAUGAGUCAGAAUUGAAGAUUACAACUGAAGAAACCGUUAAUGAAAAUGCAGAAAUAACAAGUACUGCUCAAUCAUCUUCAACUACAGAUGAGAGUAUAUGGAACUUCAAACCAAACUUCAUCACGUAUUUCACAUUGGUGUCCCAAAUGGAAUUACCUG